AAGCAGGCAUGAACCACUCAUUGUUUGUGGUCUCUCAUGAGGAGAGCCCAGGCAUGUGGGAUGCCACCAGCAACACUGGGUUGGUGUCGCAAGUAUUAUUUGUUCUACAGUUUAAGUGUGUAAGAGAAGACAAGCAGAAAGUUCAAUGGAGGGAAAAUAUUGCUGUGGUGGGGAGGGACGGUGGUUACUUGGUUUGGCUUUCAGUUGUCCCUUUAAACAAAAUUCCACUAAUCUUUAUAAAUCAUGGUGGAGAUGGCAGUGCAGAGAUAAAGAGCUCUGCGUGGUGCUCAUGCUCGUCCCGGCCUAGCAAGUGGCAGAAAAGCAAAGAGGCUGCUUCCCUUGCAGUGAGAUGGAAAUAUCUCCUUUGUUUCAACCCAGUCCAGCUUCCCCCAAGCAGCUCUGAGGAGGCAGCUACUUUCCUACAAGCACUUGCUCCUUGCUGGCAGCAGGGGAUUGUUUAAACUUUUGCACAAAGCUGGCACAGUUUGAAGCUAACAGGCAUGACCCUGAGGGUGAGAAAUAGAUGGUGUUUGUUAAGACAAUCUCAUCUCCCCCACUGCUGUGGUUCAGGAGGGAAGCUCUCACAUGCUAUUAACUUCACAGUGAAAUUGAAAGAGUUUUGAUCCUGCUUCUACAUAAACCUUGCCCAUGCUGAGGCCACACCAGCUAAGAGCUGUUACGUGGGAUCUGACUUUUCCUCCACAUCCACUGGACAUGCAACCCACUCCAAAGACUGGGGCUGUGCACACCCUGCCCAGGUUUUCCUUUGCUGUGUCACCCCCAGUUAAUGGGGUGCAAUGUAUCAGUGCUACACAUCUCCUCAUGCACUGUUCCUUUUGCUCUAAACCUGAAUUUUACUUUUUCCUGCUGCAUUGUUUUGCGUAGGCAGCAUCUGGUCAGGUUUCUGUUGCAUCAGUGGGUUUGCUGGUAUUGGGUUUUACUCAAACAAUGUGUUCUGCCACAAAGGAGCAGGUUGGAGCAGUUUAGAGCUGUCCAGCCUGGCCACGCAGGAACCAGUGACGA